rnacentral:rRNA from 1 species
CCACCCGUUCCCAUCCCGAACACGGAAGUUAAGCCCUCCAGCGCCGAUGGUACUUGGGGUGAAGACCCCUGGGAGAGUAGGUCGUUGCCAGGC